UCAGUGCAAUGAGUUUUCUCAGUUCUUUUUAGUCAAGGACUGAAGGAGCUGAUGCUAAAGGAGUAAUAUUUCUAUCUUCUAUUUUAUAUUUCUAUCAAAGAACACUUUGAUUACAGGAUACCUUACAAAUGUGUUAAAAGGAAAGCCUCAAAGUCCGCAACGGAGGUAAGAGUAACAAAGGUUGUGCUCACCUUGUCACCACAAGAAACUAUUCAACUCCUUAAAACAGGAAGCCACUUUUCUGUAGAUUCUCUCAAACAGACAACAGGGGUAGAAGUAUUCUAUGAUGACAGACCGCGCAGGAAAGUGAGAAAAAACAUCUCAAUCCGUGGCACGCUACCCUAGGUCAGGCGCUCCCUCCAGAUCAUCGACGAGACCUUGGACAACACUUCUGCAGACGUGUUAAACCACGAGAAGUGCUCGCCACCGCAGACAUCCUUAACAUCUCAAGCAAUUUGUACUCAAGUGGAGACAAACUGACUUCAAUGGGUUGAGGCCGCUUUCCCUCAUCUUGACUCUGGUGGCUACUUCCUGCCUCCUGUCUACCCCAACCGCGUGCUGAUGACCAGACAAGGUUUCUGGACAAGACAUUCUAGUCCUUCAGUCAAUAUUUAAACAGUCGGACUUGCUUAGCCAAUCUGAGAGGAUUUCAUCAGAUGCCAGCUUGACUGCUUCCUCUCCUUUAGGAAAGUGAAUCAUGUCAUCAGUGGGUGUGUAAUUGUAGAUGUCCAACAUGAAUUUGAAUUUUCUGCCAGCACUUGUAUUGUUUUGUGGCCUUUGACAUACCAGCGAU